ensembl:lincRNA
AUUUGAAACCGGGGUAAAGGAUAUUACUAUGUGAAGAAUAUAAUUUUAAUGAAAACGCAACCACAAUAAAACGCCUUACGUUUUGUAUUGUUUCAACUAAAAGAGCCCCCUGUCUCGGAAAUGAAGUAAGCAGUUUUGGGGCUCAGGUCGUGUAGAACACAUCCACACGUCUGCUCAACGCGAACCUAGUGCUGUUGCUCGCUAGGGUACGCCUUUCUUUUCAACGUGCCUGCCCAACAGGAUUGCAAGCCUGAACUUAAAUGCGCCGGGAAGAACUUCCCGGCAAUCGACAGCAGAGGCAGCAGAGAAACUGUGAAAAGGAGGGUUAAAAGAGCGAAUCGAAAGCGGAUGUUAUGUGCGUGGUGCUCGCCCGCCGCGGAGCAGAAUCCCGGUUCUUCAACAGCAGAGAUGGGCAGCCGAGGGCAGGACACACCGGGCUGGGUGGACGGUGCCUUCAGUGAUACAAGAGAUCCAGGGAAUGAAAGUACCUAGCAUCUACCUGCAAGUGCAUGGAAAGCCUGAAGCCAACACCAGCCUGCAGUUCAACAUCGAAUGGAGUCGCGAGAUCGAGCUCCAGAACAAGAGCAAGAUCAAGUUCCCUUGCACUGGCCCGUACCUGGUGUACGUGGCUUUAAAACCACAGGUCGGUUCGGACACCAGCCUCAUCCUGCGAGGGCGGGACAACCCACUGUACUUCCCUGUGACCGGCAAGAGCAACCAGUCAAUCCACUACUUCAAAAAGGGCGACGCCAUCACUGUGGACCUGACGACUACUGACACCAAUCUUAGGCUGGAUGAGCUGUCCCUGGGGUUCCAGUACUUGGUAGGGAAUGUGAGGCAAUGCAUAGAGGAUGAGGUGUAACUAGCUCAAAAGAACUCCUAAAACCAGAGUGCUGAAUAUUUAUUAACAUUCUUGUUAUUUUUAUUAUUAUUGUAAUGUAUAAAAAGUAAUAUUUUGGAAACAUGUUUUACUUUUUAAGACUGUAAAUAGUAAUUAUUCUAAACAUAUUUAUUUAUUGUUAUGUGCACUGAAAUGUGGAGUGAUCAAAUUUUGUUUUUUGCACGAAUCACAGAACGGAACUGUAAGCAAGCUGUCUGGGGAAAACAGACAAAAGCACACACAAAGCACCACACAGGGACAACCCAACCUUGCUGUGAUUUGCAACUCAAGUCAAUAAUGUUUUGUUAUUUGUUAAAAUAUAAUUUUGCAUCAGUCCACCUUUCAUUUUUAUUUUGAAUGCUGCAGAGUUAACUGAACUGCAACCUGCGACCUUGAUUGAACGCACUUUAGUCUCAGUGAAACAGGGUCACUAUGGGGGGUUUGUGUGGUUCUCUGCAAUGCAUCUCUGUAUCCCAGCUAGCAGUGCUGGAUUUGACAGUGUUUCGAACAUGGCACUGAAUGCCAGUUCCCAAUAUGCCUUAAUAGUGCUGUACUGGAGUGCAAUGGUCCAUAGUGUGGUAAGAUAGCUUACAUCACAACCUUCUUUUUACCUCCUCUCCAUAUCACUAAUGACACCUCAGCAGCAAGUCUAAAGUCAGUUCUGUUUUGAAUAUGGAAGUUACACUUUUCAACAAUCUGCAAGGUUAUGUUAAAAAAAGGAAUGUGAUAUCAUUCAUCUUUCCAUUUUUUUAAUGCACAGUCAAUAUUACAGUGAAUAUUGGGACAAUAUACAGAAUCUCAAUAUUCAAUCUCAAUAUUAUCAGUUUUUAUGCAAUCUGACAGUGAUUAAGGGCGUUAUUAGUGUGAUCAUAUCAAUUCAUGUUCAACAAGACACUUUGAGACAGAAGAGGAUUUUAAAACUAUCCUUCAGUUGAAAGAUUUUAAUUUGCUAAACCAGCAUUUAAUCAGCAAUACUGAACAGCUGUUCACUGCCAGGGAUCAAGCCCAGAACAAUGUUUUGGAUUUUUCAUGUCUGGUCUGUUUUUAUAUACUGUACUAGAAAAUUGAUCAGUCUGACAUGUUCACUGCACACUGGAAUUAACCACCCAUUUUCAUUUUGGGAAGGGCGUGAUGCAGUUUUCAUAUGAACAUAUUUCAGUAUAAGGGCAAUAUUAAGAUCCCAUACUUUCCCAAAGUGUCCCAGUCAACAUGGAGUCAUAAGGUUACCGUCAGGAUGAGCAGCUGUCCUGUACUCUCACCCUCGGCAGUGAGAUGUUCAUAGCUGAUGUGUUACAAUGCCCUGCUGUGCUAUACUGUGCUGUGCUCUCCAUACUGCAAACUGGACCAGAAGGGGCCUCUUCUCCACAGGUUUCCACUCCAGCCUGUCUGUCAUUGGCCUUCUUGUUGCAAGCUGCAUUGGGGCACGAUGGAGAGGAGCUGAGCAGCUCACGAAAUGCUCCAAUGCUCUUUGCUUCUUAAUAUUGUAAACCUAGCAGGCCUAAUAUUUAUGGUUACAUAUGUGACGUGCUCUUCUAAAAGUCUGACAUUAAAUUUCAGGAUACAUCUUUAGCAUUCUGACCAUCUAGUUCCUGCAAAAAUAUAGACAGUAUAAACCAAUAUCCUGCAGGCUUCUAACACUUACUGUACAGCUUAGCGUGGAAACCUAGAUUUGAACAGCCUAGGGUUAGAUUGCCAAUUGCACUUAAGAAAUACAGGACAGUGCUGUUUCAGCAGCGCAAUAGAGCUCAUACUCCUGCAGUGCUGCUGCUCUACCCAGAGGAGGCUCUUUCCUGUGCAGGAGGUGAGAGGGGAGGCAGUUUACAGUCAGGUGAUGAAUGCAGGCGUCACACCCCAGGGUAGUGUUUGUGCAGGCAGCAGUACAGGCUUCACCACCUAUGUGCCUUGGAAUCAAAAGACAUUAGGUUUAUUUUUUUAAAAACUUUUUAUUUAAAGACGUUAUGUUUACAAAGAAUGGAUCAGGAGCUUUGUGUAGCUCUUUCCUGCAUUGAACCAAAUAUUAAACAGUUCUUCAGAUCUUCCUUGAAACAAUCUCACAUUUCACAUUGUACCUCUAGUCGACAAAAGUGAAGUUAAAUAUUUCUCAUUUAAAUUGUAGUCUAUGUUUCAGUUCAAAUUAAAUGUGAUUUCUUGUAAUAGUUAUGCAGAUUGUUUCAAAAUCAUUUGGUGUGCCAUUAGAUGAAACAUCUGGGAAGCACUGGGCUGGAUAACAGGAUCUUUAGUUGCAAACGCACUUUAGUUUCAGGGGAAUGGCAAACAUCUAAAAAUCCAAUAGCGGAAAGUUCAGAUUUCUCUGUUAGCAAAAUGGAAAGACUUACAGACUGGAGAAGAUGGAGUGAAGAAGCAGGCCUCUCCUGUUUUAUAAAUUCAGACAAUGUCUGUGCAAUCUGUUCUAAUCUGCAAUGUAGGUAGGCAGAGAACUCAGACAAUUCUGUGAAAUGUUUACUGAUGAUGACUGUGUUACUUUUCUCUUCAAAUACUCCAUAUGUAUAUGUGGAAAUAAGUAUGCUGUUAAA